rnacentral:rRNA from 1 species
AGAGUUUGAUUAUGGCUCAGGACGAACGCUGGCGGCGUGCUUAACACAUGCAAGUCGAACGAAGCUUGAUUACGGAUUCUUCGGAAGAAGUAUGAUAUGACUGAGUGGCGGACGGGUGAGUAACGCGUGAGUAACCUGCCCUUCAGAGGGGGAUAGCGUUUGGAAACGAACGGUAAUACCGCAUAAUGUAUUUUGACCGCAUGAUCGAAAUACCAAAGAUUUAUCGCUGAAGGAUGGACUCGCGUCUGAUUAGGUAGUUGGUGGGGUAACGGCCUACCAAGCCGACGAUCAGUAGCCGGACUGAGAGGUUGAUCGGCCACAUUGGGACUGAGACACGGCCCAG